rnacentral:rRNA from 1 species
GAUGAACGCUGACAGCAUGCUUAACACAUGCAAGUCAACUUGAAUUUGGGUUUUUACCUUAGGUUUGGGUGGCGGACGGGUGAGUAACGCGUAAAGAACUUGCCUCACAGCUAGGGACAACAUUUGGAAACGAAUGCUAAUACCUAAUAUUAUGAUAAUAGGGCAUCCUAUAAUUAUGAAAGCUAUAAGCGCUGUGAGAGAGCUUUGCGUCCCAUUAGCUAGUUGGAGAGGUAACGGCUCACCAAGGCGAUGAUGGGUAGCCGGCCUGAGAGGGUGAUCGGCCACAAGGGGACUGAGACACGGCCCUUACUCCUACGGGAGGCAGCAGUGGGGAAUAUUGGACAAUGGACCAAGAGUCUGAUCCAGCAAUUCUGUGUGCACGAUGAAGUUUUUCGGAAUGUAAAGUGCUUUCAGUUGGGAAGAAAGAAAUGACGGUACCAACAGAAGAAGUGACGGCUAAAUACGUG